AAUAUUGGACAAUGGGCGAAAGCCUGAUCCAGCCAUGCCGCGUUUGUGAAUAAGGUCUUCGGUUUGAAAAGCACCUUAAGUCGGGAGGAAUGGCCGCAAGUUAAUCCCUGGCUGUUUUGUCGAUACCGCCAGAUUAAGCAUCGGCUAACUUCGUGCCAUCAGCUGAGGUAAUACGAAGGGUUCAAGCGUUAACCGGAAUUACUGGGCGUAAAGCGCGCGUAGGUGGUUUGUUAAGUUGGAAGUGAAAGCCCCGGGAUCAACCUGGGAACUGCUUUCAAAACUGGCAAGCUAGAGUAUGGCAGAGGGUGGUGGAAUUUCCUGUGUAGCGGUGAAAUGCGUAGAUAUAGGAAGGAACACCAGUGGCGAAGGCGACCACCUGGGCUAAUACUGACACUGAGGUGCGAAAGCGUGGGGAGCAAACAGG
rnacentral:rRNA from 1 species